AGUGAACGCUGGCGGUAGGCCUAACACAUGCAAGUCGAACGGCAGCACAGUAAGAGCUUGCUCUUACGGGUGGCGAGUGGCGGACGGGUGAGGAAUACAUCGGAAUCUACUUUUUCGUGGGGAUAACGUAGGGAAACUUACGCUAAUACCGCAUACGACCUACGGGUGAAAGCAGGGGAUCUUCGGACCUUGCGCGAUUGAAUGAGCCGAUGUCGGAUUAGCUAGUUGGCGGGGUAAAGGCCCACCAAGGCGACGAUCCGUAGCUGGUCUGAGAGGAUGAUCAGCAACACUGGAACUGAGACACGGUCCAGACUCCUACGGGAGGCAGCAGUGGGGAAUAUUGGACAAUGGGCGCAAGCCUGAUCCAGCCAUACCGCGUGGGUGAAGAAGGCCUUCGGGUUGUAAAGCCCUUUUGUUGGGAAAGAAAAGCAGCAGGUUAAUACCCCGCUGUUCUGACGGUACCCAAAGAAUAAGCACCGGCUAACUUCGUG
rnacentral:rRNA from 1 species